GACGAACGCUGGCGGCGUGCUUAACACAUGCAAGUCGAACGGAAAGGCGCUGCUUUUGUGGGGUGCUCGAUUGGCGAACGGGUGAGUAACACGUGAGUAACCUGCACUUGACUUUGGGAUAACUUCACGAAACUGGGGCUAAUACCGGAUAGGAGCUCCUGAUGCAUGGUGGUGGUUGGAAAGUUUCGGCGGUUGGGGAUGGACUCGCGGCUUAUCAGCUUGUUGGUGGGGUAGUGGCUUACCAAGGCUUUGACGGGUAGGCGGCCUGAGAGGGUGGCCGGCCACAUUGGGACUGAGAUACGGCCCAGACUCCUACGGGCGGCAGCAGGGGGGAAUAUUGCAGAAUGGGCGGAAGCCUGAUGCAGCAACGCCGCGUGCGGGAAGACGGCCUUCGGGUUGUAAACCGCUGUCGCCUGUGACGAAGCGUGAGUGACGGUAAUGGGUAAAGAAGCACCGGCUAACUACGUG
rnacentral:rRNA from 1 species